UGGAAGUGUGAUAUCCUGCUAUCACCCAGACAAUCGCCUGGUGCGGUAGCACGAGCGCAGAUUCAGCGGGGAUAUCUUGCAAGGAACCGAGAAAAGUGGAGCCGUGGAACGAAUACCGCCAGGAGCACGAAUUUAGUUGGCGAAGCGAGGGCAGCGAGCCUGGUGGAUUCCGCCAUGCGUUCUUUCGAGAAGACGUCGCGUGUUUCUGGCGAAGUGGUAGUGAGCGAGAUUGGGACGUGCACAGCGGUUUGCGACUGUUCGAGGAACAGUGAGCGAAAGAUGCCACGCGCAGCCGUGCCGGAGCUUCGUACAAGAGGCUCGUUAACCACCCGGCGCCAACACAGCUGCUGAAUACUGCGUGGCAUGUUGAUGACAGCAUCUCCUGAAAUGAGCACUUGGAACGUUGUAAGGCUCACUUUGAGGACGACAGCUUUGAACAAAAGCGCGCCGACGGCUGGAAAAAGCUGAAGCCAAAUGCCGUUCCAAAGCUGUUCCCGCCAAAGGCAUCGCCUCGCAAAAGAAGAGCGCCGAAAGUCGUGACAAGAGCAGCAGCAGCGCCGUCUGGCGUAAGUGACGAUUCCGUCGUCGUCGAUGGAGCAGAUUCGUCACCGACGCAGGUGGAGGUGCACCUGCUGUCGUCCUCCAACGGCUCUGAUCUGUCUCGGCAAGAGAGCUGCAUCGUGCCACAGCUAGCCAACUCAAGCCGGACGCUCCGGAGCACGGCAGUCAAGCAGGAGCUCGCUGAGCCGAACGCUGCGUCAUCCGAUCCUCCGUGUUCUAACGACUCCUGCACCGAAUUGAGACAGCAGCUGGCAGACGUGACGACAAGGCACGAUCAACUGCUGGAAGCUUACGUGAUCGCGAAUUCGACCGUUAACGCGCUAAGAAGUAAGGUCGGCGAGUUGGAAAGCACCGUGGAAAUUCUCCGACAGCGCCUUCAGUCCCGCAACGGCGUUCAUUAGCAAGAGGCUCCACGACAAAACAACCAUGGGAGUAUGCGUAUUCAAUAAAGCUGGCGCUUGGAUUUUCUGCACGAAA
rnacentral:misc_RNA from 1 species